rnacentral:lncRNA from 1 species
ACUUGAGGUACCUCACCCAACCCAUUUGGGGUUGGGUCAUGAGUCCGGUUGGCUAGGGCCAGGUAAGUGGCUCUCGGAGGUAAGACUCACAUCUCUGGUUUGGGAGUGACUUGCUCUUUAAUAAAGGGAUCCUUAGUCCAGUGUCUGUGGGGUACACAGCCUCAUGGUCCAUAGCCACCCGGCGAUUUUGGACGUGGGUCCAAAAGCUUGUCUGUUGUCCGAAAUAUUGUUGGGGGCAGUCAGCAGCCGAGUGGGGGCGGUCAGCAGCCCAAAGAAGCACCUAGAAAUACGAGCACAAGUUACCUGGUUUCGAAGUAUGGACCUGAUGCAAGCAAGUAAUUGGAUAAAUGGCAAACAGUGACAAAGGCCAAUCCGAAGGCAAGCUGGCCAAGGUGGGGUUCACUUAAUGAGGAAAAGAUAAUUGUUUCUAUGGUCUGUUGUAAGCAAAGCAGGUCGAGAAAUUGAAGAAGACGAAAGAGAAGUCUUCAGCCAAAGGCUCGAGGAAUGCACCCGAGGAAAAACCAGGAGCCAAAAGCCUGGACCACAUUUUCCUGCAGCCCAGAAUCCGAAGGAGCCCCAAGAUCCUGGAUCCGGAUAAGUGUUGUUUCUCAUCAUUUUCAUUGACUAGAAAUGUUUCUGUAGCAGACAUAAAACUGGCCAUUUUGUUUCCCCUGAGAAUUGUAUUUCCCCUGAGCAAAGUAGAGAACCUAGAAAGGACAGAGCUAUAUUUUACCAGGUUAAGAGGUUUGAAAGUAACAUCUGUUCAUUGGAGAAUUUGCAGCAGAGAUGCCAGAGUGCUAGUUUGUCUCAAAGUAGUAUCAGAAGAAGUUAGGAGGAAUGACGGAGCCCAGAAAUGAUUGUUAGUAAUAGAAGAUAAAUUUCUUUUCAAUCUGGAGCCUGGUUAGAGAAUUGCCAUCUAAUAGUAAAUUGUAUGGGAAGGUAAUUGGGAAAAAGAAAAGCUAUGGAGGAAAUUGGUUAUUGAAACAGUCACAAGGGCGAAUGGAAAGGCAGAUAAACAUUUUUAGCCAUUAUGAAUGAGUAAGCAAAUUCAAAGAGGUCCCUUUUCUUAAAAGAAGAGUUUAGGUCAUAAGGAAAACCUGGCAAAAUAUCAGUGCCAAAAGCGCGGAGGCCCAGCACAUAAAUACUAGAUUCUAAGCAGCAGUUUUAAUAAACAAGGUUCUGAUAGAACA